UAUAUAUAUAUAUAUAUAUAUCCUUUGUGUUCAUAUAUAAAUCCUGGAACUUCUGUAACUACGAAAGCAAGUAUAGCUCUGUUGGUUUCUAUAAUGUGAAAUUGUGGGCGAGAUAUUGUGAUUUUAAUUAUGUAAGUGUGGUGUUCCAUAAUAUUAAAUAAAAAGGAAGCUCUAUCUAUUGAUGUUUCCUACUAAAUAUAAUAAUUUCCAUUCUUUUUCUAUGAGAUUUAGUUCUAUGAAAGUAAUUUCAAAAGAAGUUUUUAUAUUUUAAAGAAG
rnacentral:misc_RNA from 1 species